rnacentral:snRNA from 1 species
AUACUAACUUGGCGUAGGGGAUACCGUGAUCAUUCAGGCGGUUCCCACUGGGCGAGGCUCCCCCAUGGCACUGCGGAGUGGUUAACCCUUGCGAUUAUUUUUAUUUUUAUCAAUAAAAAAAUCAUAAUAAAAAUUGUAUACCCGAAUAAAUAAUAAAUAUUUUCUUUAUA